AGUGAACGCUGGCGGUAGGCCUAACACAUGCAAGUCGAACGGCAGCACAGUAAGAGCUUGCUCUUACGGGUGGCGAGUGGCGGACGGGUGAGGAAUACAUCGGAAUCUACUUUUUCGUGGGGGAUAACGUAGGGAAACUUACGCUAAUACCGCAUACGACCUACGGGUGAAAGCAGGGGAUCUUCGGACCUUGCGCGAUUGAAUGAGCCGAUGUCGGAUUAGCUAGUUGGCGGGGUAAAGGCCCACCAAGGCGACGAUCUGUAGCUGGUCUGAGAGGAUGAUCAGCCACACUGGAACUGAGACACGGUCCAGACUCCUACGGGGGGCAGCAGUGGGGAAUAUUGGACAAUGGGCGCAAGCCUGAUCCAGCCAUACCGCGUGGGUGAAGAAGGCCUUCGGGUUGUAAAGCCCUUUUGUUGGGAAAGAAAAGCAGCAGGUUAAUACCCCGCUGUUCUGACGGUACCCAAAGAAUAAGCACCGGCUAACUUCGUG
rnacentral:rRNA from 1 species